rnacentral:rRNA from 1 species
AUACGGAGGGUGCGAGCGUUGUUCGGAAUUAUUGGGCGUAAAGAGCAUGUGGGCGGUCUGUUAAGUCUGGUGUGAAAGCCCGGGGCUCAACCCCGGAAGUGCAUUGGAUACUGGCAGACUUGAGUAUGGGAGAGGAAAGCGGAAUUCCGAGUGUAGGAGUGAAAUCCGUAGAUAUUCGGAGGAACACCAGUGGCGAAGGCGGCUUUCUGGACCAAUACUGACGCUGAGAUGCGAAAGCGUGGGGAGCGAACAGGAUUAGAAACCCCGGAAGUCC